UACGUAGGGUGCGAGCGUUAAUCGGAAUUACUGGGCGUAAAGGGAGCGUAGGCGGACAUUUAAGUCAGGGGUGACAUCCCGAGGCUCAACCUCGGAACUGCCUUUGAUACUGGAUGUCUUGAGUGUGAGAGAGGUGAGUGGAACUCCGAGUGUAGAGGUGAAAUUCGUAGAUAUUCGGAAGAACACCAGUGGCGAAGGCGACUCACUGGCUCAUUACUGACGCUCAUGCACGAAAGCGUGGGGAGCAAACAGG
rnacentral:rRNA from 1 species